GGGUGCUCGAGUGGCGAACGGGUGAGUAACACGUGAGUAACCUGCCCUUGACUUUGGGAUAACUUCAGGAAACUGGGGCUAAUACCGGAUAGGAGCUCCUGCUGCAUGGUGGGGGUUGGAAAGUUUCGGCGGUUGGGGAUGGACUCGCGGCUUAUCAGCUUGUUGGUGGGGUAGUGGCUUACCAAGGCUUCGACGGGUAGCCGGCCUGAGAGGGUGACCGGCCACAUUGGGACUGAGAUACGGCCCAG
rnacentral:rRNA from 1 species